rnacentral:rRNA from 1 species
GACGAACGCUGGCGGCGUGCUUAACACAUGCAAGUCGAACGGAAAGGCCCUGCUUUUGUGGGGUGCUCGAGUGGCGAACGGGUGAGUAACACGUGAGUAACCUGCCCUUGACUUUGGGAUAACUUCAGGAAACUGGGGCUAUUACCGGAUAGGAGCUCCUGCUGCAUGGUGGGGGUUGGAAAGUUUCGGCGGUUGGGGAUGGACUCGCGGCUUAUCAGCUUGUUGGUGGGGUAGUGGCUUACCAAGGCUUUGACGGGUAGCCGGCCUGAGAGGGUGACCGGCCACAUUGGGACUGCGAUACGGACCAGACUCCUACGGGAGGCAGCAGUGGGGAAUAUUGCACAAUGGGCGGAAGCCUGAUGCAGCAACGCCGCGUGCGGGAUGACGGCCUUCGGGUUGUAAACCGCUUUCGCCUGUGACGAAGCGUGCGUGACGGUAAUGGGUAAAGAAGCACCGGCUAACUACGUG